GCGGAGGUAGCUAAGCCCGGCCCACGGCGCCGGUCUUGAAAACCGGUGGCGUCCUCGCCUCGGGGGUUCGAAUCCCUCCCUCCGCGCCA
rnacentral:tRNA from 1 species